CCUGUCUGCCCUGGCUGUGUCACAGCUCAGCCCGUUGCUGCAGGGCCACCAUGGUCACUGCCCACGGAAACAAGAGGGCCACAGGGGGGGAGGUGGGGGCAGUCCCUGGGCUCAGCGGGGAGCAGCCGGGCACCUGUGGCAUCGUCCAGCCUGAAGCCAAACGCCUGAGUUACCUCUGUUAAAUGAGGGACAGCAAGACGAGAUAGCAUGGGCUCUUGUCAGUUUAUUACAUCACUGAAUUACAGUCCAGACUGAAUAGUGGACCCAAGAAUGUUACAUUACACAAACCGACUGGUUUUAAACUUAUGACAAGGGACAGAUGGGAAUCUCAUUGUAAGGAAAUCUUCUUGCAUAAAGCUUCAGUGGCCCAUGGGCACUUAAAACCCAUGGACUUUCAGCUGGUCGUCUUUGGCCAGUCCAAUCUCGACGAGGAACUGGCAGAUGUUCUUGCGUUGGUCGCCCUGCAGCUGAAUCACUUCUCCAUACUCAGGGUGCUCGAUCACAGUACCAUUGCAGGCAAAUUUCUUCUUGAACGCCUUCACCAGUUUCUUUUUAUCGUAAUCAUCCGCGAUGCCCUGGACAGUGGUGAGGGUCUUCCUGCCGUUCCGCUGCUGGAUCCUUAUAUGGAUGUAGUCCUCAGUGCCGGCAGGAAGCAGGUCAUCACCCUUACUUGCAUCAGCAAAGGGGUCGAAGGGUUGGAGGUUCUGGAUAGCGGACAUACGAUACGCUUCCCUUCCCUCGGCGAGGCGGCGGCGGCGGGCGGCGGCGGAGGCGGCGGCGCGGCGGGUGGUGGCGGCGGCGCGAGCGGCUGAGACGGAGGAUGCUCUCGCGGCGGCGGCUGCGGACGCUGUCACGGGGGCGGGACCGGCACCGCCCGCUUAUAUACCAUCUCCGUGUGACGUCAGCACGCACGGGAAACGAGCGCGGCGAUUGGCCGCCCCUCGGGGGCGUCACGACGUACGGCCGAACGCGGCCACGCCCCGCCUGGCGCGACGGGAGUCGUACGCAUGCGCAGUUCGAGGCCGUGCGGGGGGGAGGGGGGUACGGCGGCACGCGGGGUGGCGCAUGCGCAGUGCGGUGGCGCCUCGCGGGGCGCGGGGGGGUCCCGCUGUGCUGCGGCCGCGCUGCCCCCGGCGGCCCCAACGGCUCCGCACGGCGCGGCGCUGUCCUCCCGUGUGCGGGGCCCUCCCGCCGCGUGCCGUCCGCUCCCCGCGACGGCCGCAGCCCUCCCGGCCCCCUCCCCGCCCCGCGAGGGCCCCACGUCGGGGUCUGACGCUGCGGAGCCCCCCCCCGGGCCGCUCCCCCGCGCUGUGGCGGUGCGGACGGCUCUGUGAGGUCCCGGCCCGGGGGGACCCACGGCCCCCAUCCCCGGCGGUCGGCGGAGGCCCGCAGGCCGUGCUGGCGGCGGAGCAGCCCCGGGAGCAGCGGGGUGAGCCCGGCCGCGCCGCCGGGGGUGGAAACGGGGCCGAACGUUCCCCGCGGCGGUCGCGCUUCGCGCGGCUUCGGGGGUCGCACUGCGCGGUCGGGCCGCGGCUCUGAGCUCCGAGCGGCCGCGAUCGGCUGCGGCUGCGCGGCUGUCCGCAGUGCGGCGCGGCCCCUCACAGAGCGCUCCUCGCAGGGCUGAGCGCCGCGUUCGGCUCCGAGAUGUGCUCAAAAUGCUCCGAGGCGCGGACGCCGAGCACGAGAUCCCCCGCGUGGGGAUGCGGCCCGAAGCCGUGAGGUCCGUAUGGAGCUUAAACGCCUCCGGGCGCGGGGACGGAACGGAGCUGCGCUGCUCAGCACACGGCGAGCGCCGCUCUGCGGCCGUCCGAGCCCCGAAGCGGUGCCGUGGAUUUGAGGGAUGAUUGGCGCCGGGAUGCGCCGCCCUCUGCGGCCCUCUGCGGCCGUGGCAGCCGUCGCACGGCGGGGACGCGUCGUCCGUGGGGCUUCGAUUGAGACACCCCGUUCAUUACCUCGUGCCGGGUAGAAGGGAUCGCUCGCUUGGCUGUGCUUCGGCACCUCUCUGGUGUUUCUAAAGCAUCUGUCGCUUUUCCGUGUCGUUACGUGCUAAAGUUGUCAUUAAAAUGUGAAUUUGCUCCACACCCGCCGUGACCCGCAGACAGCGCUUCUCAGCCCUCCAUUUCUGCUCGGUUUUCCCUCUCCCGGCCGUCUCCCGCAGCCACGAACCGCCCCGUCCGGACCGCGGAGGGGGAAUCGGGCGAUGUCGGCGCAGUUCGAUGUGCGCGACGGGCAGAGCGCUGCCAACGGAGCGCUUUUAUCGCCAGGGCUCCAUCAGAGCACAGAGCUGCGGGCCCCGCGCUGCCCACGAGGUGGCAAUGCUGCUCCGUCCGCCCGCACGGCGGUUCUGCAGCGGCUGCGCCGUUCCUAGAAACCAGCUUUUCUCCUCCGACAUCCUGCGGCCUCCGUGUGACCGCAUGGAGCUGGAUUCGGGAGGAGCCGCAUUUCUGGUGUACGCUGUUUGAUCCCAUCAGCACCAGCGGUAAAUGUGCUCCUGGAUCGCACCGCAGCACGGCAGCGGUGAGCACAGUGCCGUGGGGCAAAGGCCGUGCAGGGAAUCCCGGUCACCGUCCCUUCUGCACGGGGCCACUGCUGGGAAUGCCCGUCCCAAAGGUGGCAAACCCUGCAACAACACGGAGCGAUUGUGCUGAUCUGUGCCCGCCCGACUGCCGUGAAACACAACGGUGCGCUGUGUGCUGCUGGGAUGGAGGCACUGUAACGGGUUUGUGUGAAGGGGAACUCCCGGCGCUCAGUCCCCACGCGCAGCAACGCGUCCCGGUGCCAUCCCGCCGUGUGCUGCAGGAAGCAGCUGUGGGCACCUUCAGCUCCGUCCUCCCCCAGUGACCCUCUGCAGCACUCUGCCGUGGUGCUGUUACGGUGUCCCGCAGGGUGUGCUCAGCCCGCUGCAUGGGGCUGAGGGCACGCUCUGCACCCCGGCGUCCUGCCCUGCCCCGGGCUGCGGCCCUUCCUCCCGUGUUGCUCAGCCUUCGCCACCCCCGGCUGUGAAACCUCCGCUCUCCACGAGGUGCCAGGAGAGCUCUGAGCACGGGGCUGUCUGGGAGCGCUGCUGCGCUGCAAGCAGGAACAAGCUCCGCUCUCUGCUGCCUGGCAGUCCCUGCAGCAAUGGGGGCUGUGCAGCUCCUCCUCGGGCAGGGACAUGUGGCCGUGGCCGUGGCCGUGCCAUGGGGUGGGGUGGCAGCUCCAGACCAAGGGACUGUGCUCGUACUGUGCAUCGUGCAUUUGUCCCCUUGCCUGCAUUUGGGGCUGCAGCAUGCUGUGGGUUUGCUGCAGAAAAGAUCAAAUCCCUUUCCACCCCGGCCACGCCCUGCAUUGCUCCUUGGGGCUGUCCUGCAGCAGGAUGGUUCACAUCCCCCUGGCUGAGGUUCAUAUCCCUACACACAUCGCUCACAUCACAGGACGGUGCUGAGCAGGGUUGUGCUGGGAGCCCUCACCCAGGCACUCAGCAGCAGCCAGGAGCAGCGGAGCAGCCCAAACUCACAGCAGGGAGCAGGGAUUGGGGUGGGGAGGUGGGGAGAUCUCCCCCACCAUGCCCCACGUUGUCCCUGUCUGCCCUGUGCAGCUCCGCUGUGUAGCAGAGCUGCUGCUUUGGGGCACGAUGAUCCCCCUGCAUGAACCGCCUCUGGGGAUGCCCCCUCCUCACUCAGUGACGGGGAGUGAGGCCAAAGGCUCUUCUGCUGUGGAGAGGCUGAGAUAUGGCAUUAAGGCAGCUCAGGGAGCAGGACAGGGGGCCGGGCAGGUUCUCAUGCUCAGUCUCCUGACAGGCACAGGGCUGACUCAGAGCCAUACCAGCGCAUCGGGGACUGCUGUGCUCAGCAGCUCUCGGCCCCUUUCCCACAUGUCAGCAAAG
rnacentral:lncRNA from 1 species